rnacentral:rRNA from 1 species
GAAGAGCAGGUUCGCAUUGUCUGGGAUAAUCUCAAGGCGGCCCAGUCCCAUCAGAAGAGAAACUAUGACCGGAAACACUGGGGUUCAACUUAUCAACCCGGUGAACAAGCUUAUCUGCGUGUCACUCCUUUGAGAGGCACUCAUCGGUUCGGAGUCAAGGGCAAGCUAGCUCCGCGCUACAUUGGUCCUUUCCGCAUUCUGGCCCGUCGUGGACUGGUGUCUUAUCAACUGGAAUUGCCACCUCAGUUCUCCCAUGUUCAUGAUGUCUUCCACGUGUCGCAACUUCGUCGAUGCUUCAAGGAUCCGGAACGUGAAGUGGAUCCAGAAUUGAUUGAAGUUCAAGAUGAUCUCACAUACAAAGAGCAUCCGAUCCGCAUUCUUGAUGAAGCUGAA